rnacentral:rRNA from 1 species
GAUGAACGCUGGCGGCGUGCCUAAUACAUGCAAGUAGAACGCUGAAGCUUGGUGCUUGCACCGAGCGGAUGAGUUGCGAACGGGUGAGUAACGCGUAGGUAACCUGCCUGGUAGCGGGGGAUAACUAUUGGAAACGAUAGCUAAUACCGCAUAACAGUAGAUAUUGCAUGAUAUCUGCUUGAAAGGUGCAAAUGCAUCACUACCAGAUGGACCUGCGUUGUAUUAGCUAGUUGGUGAGGUAACGGCUCACCAAGGCGACGAUACAUAGCCGACCUGAGAGGGUGGUCGGCCACACUGGGACUGAGACACGGCCCAGACUCCUACGGGAGGCAGCAGUAGGGAAUCUUCGGCAAUGGGGGGAACCCUGACCGAGCAACGCCGCGUGAGUGAAGAAGGUUUUCGGAUCGUAAAGCUCUGUUGUAAGAGAAGAACGAGUGUGAGAGUGGAAAGUUCACACUGUGACGGUAUCUUACCAGAAAGGGACGGCUAACUACGUG